GCGCCGUCAUUUGGGGAGUAGCCGAUUUCCAGACUCCGGAAAUGUACGUGUCAACAUACUCGUUGCAAAACGUGGCACGUACGGACUGAAAUCUCUUUCAGUCAGGCGAGACCAUAGGCACAUCA
rnacentral:misc_RNA from 1 species